UACGUAGGGUGCAAGCGUUGUCCGGAAUUAUUGGGCGUAAAGAGCUUGUAGGCGGUUUGUCGCGUCUGCUGUGAAAUUUCGGGGCUCAACCCCGAACUUGCAGUGGGUACGGGCAGACUAGAGUGUGGUAGGGGAGACUGGAAUUCCUGGUGUAGCGGUGAAAUGCGCAGAUAUCAGGAGGAACACCGAUGGCGAAGGCAGGUCUCUGG
rnacentral:rRNA from 1 species